rnacentral:rRNA from 1 species
GAGUUUGAUCCUGGCUCAGGAUGAACGCUAGCGGCAGGCUUAACACAUGCAAGUCGAGGGGUAACGGGGUGCUUGCACCGCCGACGACCGGCGCACGGGUGAGUAACGCGUAUACAAUCUGCCUUGUACUGAGGGAUAGCCCAGAGAAAUUUGGAUUAAUACCUCAUAGUAUAUGGAACUCUCAUGAGGAUCAUAUUAAAGGUUACGGUACAAGAUGAGUAUGCGUUCUAUUAGCUAGAUGGUAAGGUAACGGCUUACCAUGGCUACGAUAGAUAGGGGCCCUGAGAGGGGGAUCCCCCACACUGGUACUGAGACACGGACCAGACUCCUACGGGAGGCAGCAGUGAGGAAUAUUGGACAAUGGGCGAGAGCCUGAUCCAGCCAUGCCGCGUGCAGGAUGACGGCCCUAUGGGUUGUAAACUGCUUUUAUACAGGAAGAAACACCCCGACGUGUCGGGACUUGACGGUACUGUAAGAAUAAGGAUCGGCUAACUCCGUGCCAGCAGCCGCGGUAAUACGGAGGAUCCAAGCGUUAUCCGGAAUCAUUGGGUUUAAAGGGUCCGUAGGUGGACAAUUAAGUCAGAGGUGAAAUCCUGCAGCUCAACUGUAGAAUUGCCUUUGAUACUGGUUGUCUUGAGUUAUUAUGAAGUAGUUAGAAUAUGUAGUGUAGCGGUGAAAUGCAUAGAUAUUACAUAGAAUACCAAUUGCGAAGGCAGAUUACUAAUAAUCAACUGACACUGAUGGACGAAAGCGUGGGGAGCGAACAGGAUUAGAUACCCUGGUAGUCCACGCCGUAAACGAUGGUUACUAGUUGUUCGGAUUUCGGUCUGAGUGACUAAGCGAAAGUGAUAAGUAACCCACCUGGGGAGUACGUUCGCAAGAAUGAAACUCAAAGGAAUUGACGGGGGCCCGCACAAGCGGUGGAGCAUGUGGUUUAAUUCGAUGAUACGCGAGGAACCUUACCAGGGCUUAAAUGCAAAACGACCGGGGUGGAAACACCCCUUUCUUCGGACGGAUUGCAAGGUGCUGCAUGGUUGUCGUCAGCUCGUGCUGUGAAGUGUCGGGUUAAGUCCCAUAACGAGCGCAACCCCUAUCUUCAG